rnacentral:rRNA from 1 species
UACAGAGGUCUCAAGCGUUGUUCGGAUUCAUUGGGCGUAAAGGGUGCGUAGGUGGCAUGGUAAGUCGGAUGUGAAAUCCCGGGGCUCAACCCCGGAACUGCAUUCGAUACUGCCGAGCUAGAGUACUGGAGAGGAGAUUGGAAUUUACGGUGUAGCAGUGAAAUGCGUAGAUAUCGUAAGGAAGACCAGUGGCGAAGGCGGAUCUCUGGACAGUUACUGACACUGAGGCACGAAGGCCAGGGGAGCAAACGGG